rnacentral:rRNA from 1 species
UACAGAGGUCCCAAGCGUUGUUCGGAUUCACUGGGCGUAAAGGGUGCGUAGGUGGUUGGGUAAGUCUGAUGUGAAAUCUCCGAGCUUAACUCGGAAACGGCAUCGGAUACUAUCUGACUUGAGGGUUGGAGGGGGGACUGGAAUUCUCGGUGUAGCAGUGAAAUGCGUAGAUAUCGAGAGGAACACCAGUGGCGAAGGCGAGUCCCUGGACAACUCCUGACACUGAGGCACGAAAGCCAGGGGAGCAAACGGG